rnacentral:rRNA from 1 species
GACGAACGCUGGCGGCGUGCUUAACACAUGCAAGUCGAACGGUGAACCUCUUCGGAGGGGAUCAGUGGCGAACGGGUGAGUAACACGUGGGCAACCUGCCCCCGGCUCUGGGAUAACUCCAAGAAAUUGGGGCUAAUACCGGAUGUUCACCGCUUCCCGCAUGGGUGGUGGUGGAAAGGGUUUCCGGCUGGGGAUGGGCCCGCGGCCUAUCAGCUUGUUGGUGGGGUAGUGGCCUACCAAGGCGACGACGGGUAGCCGGCCUGAGAGGGUGACCGGCCACAAGGGGACUGAGACACGGCGCAGACUCCUACGGGAGGCAGCAGUGGGGAAUAUUGCGCAAUGGGCGGAAGCCUGACGCAGAGACGCCGCGUGGGGGAUGACGGCCUUCGGGUUGUAAACCUCUUUCAGCAGGGACGAAGCGCAAGUGACGGUACCUGCAGAAGAAGCACCGGCCAACUACGUG